UUGAACCGUACGCACAAGAAUCGCUUCUGGCCACUCCCAGGUGAAUGAAAGUCAGAAGUUUUCCACUUCUGCGAACGG